rnacentral:misc_RNA from 1 species
AACAAGCAUGGUGGAGACGAGGGAGGAGUCAGGCCUGUCCACUCUGCAUCCACUCAGCCCUCCACCCCACGCCUCACAGCUCGCCAUGGAGGGGGAGCCAAAUGAAAAAAAACAGCAGCAGCAGCAGCAGCCACAGAUCAACACAAACACAGCAGCAUCAGCAGCAGCAGCAACAAGAGGUGAUGAGAGCCCGAACAGCACACCUAUGACAGCAGAGGGUGAGGACAGCAGGACAGGGGCAGCAGCAGCAACAGCAGAGACCAAACCAGCACAGCAAGAGACCACAGCAGGCACAACAGAAGUAGCAGCAGCAGCACAGCACAGUGAACAACCACAGGAGAGCAGCACAGCGACAUCACUUAGCAUAGGAGGAGGAGGAGAUGGUGGUGGAGGAGAGGGUGAAGGAGGGAAUGUGUUGGGGCAUGAUGGAGUGGUGGGGGCAGUGCUGGAGGUGCUGCGGGCGGACCGGAGGAUAGUGGCAGGUGCGGGGGAUGGCUCCCUGCCCCCUGAGCUGUCUGAGGAGGCCGAGGGAGACCUGCAUGAAAAGCCAGACUGGGUGGACCGCGAUGUGCAGGCACUGAGGGAGAUUGUAGAAGCUGAACCCAGCCUGAACUCCCGCCUGGACAAACCCUUCCUCCUCUCCUUCCUGAGGGCACGCAAGUUUGACUACGACAAGGCAAUGGCAAUGUUGCGAAGUUACUACAGAGCACGGCAAGAGAAUGCAGACCUGUAUGUCAACCUGGUGCCCUCAGCCCUGGAGUCUGUGUGGCCACUGCACCUCCAGACAGUCCUGCCCACACCAGACACCCUCGGUCGCACUGUGCUUAUCUUCAGAGCUGGGGCAUGGGAUCCGGAGUUGGCCAGCCUGGACGAUGUGUUCCGGUCGCAAGUGGUGGUGCUGGAGCAUGUGGUGCGGCUGCCGGUCACACAGCUGAGGGGUGUGGCGGCCGUGGUGGACUGUGCUGGCCUCUCUAUGACACACGCCUACCACCUCACACCAGCACACAUCAGGCGCAUGAUCUCCGUGAUACAGGAGGUGUUCCCGCUGCGCUUCAAGGCUCUACACUUCGUCCACGAGCCAGCGAUCUUUGACUGGGUGUUCUCCCUCAUCAAACCAUUCCUCUCGGAGACCAUCAAGGGAAGGCUACACUUCCAUGGUGAGGACCUGUCUUCCCUGCACCAGCACAUCCCACCAGAGGAGCUGCCGGAGGAAGUGGGCGGCUCAAUGGGGCCUCUUGACAACUCCUUCCUUGUCGACCAACUCUUGAAGAAUGAAGAAUAUUUUAGAGUGUGUGUGUCCAGGGCAGUGCGUCCCACCAGAGCCCCUCGCAGCAAAAAGUGUCGGUCCCUGGUGCCUUUCCUCCCAGUGUGGUGGCUGCGGUAGCACAAGGCACAGAGGGGAGGUGUGGUGGUGGUGUGUGUGUGUCUGUGUGUGUGACCACUUCCAGUAUGGCUUUGAGGCGACACCAGAGCCAGCACGGACAGGUGGUGUGCUGGAGGCUGUCACUGAUGUUGGUUCCCUCCUGGGCAGUUACUACCGGCGGAUUUGCAUUGACUAGUGUUACCGACCUGGCACUGGUGACGACUAGUGCUGGCACCUUGAGAACUUGGUGGAAAUGAGAAGUAGGAGGGAUGGGGUGGGGACUAGUGUGUGUUUGUGUGUAUGUGUGAGUGUGGGUGAGUGAGGCUGAUGUUUGUACAGCCUCCCAAACACUCCUACACUCGCCGAACACUCAAGAGACACACCUAACUUAACCACCCAAAACACUUGACUGGCUUAUGGGAUGGGAAGUGUGUGUGUGUGUGUGUGUGUGUGUGUGUGUGUGUGUGUGUGUGUGUGUGUUCUGGUUGUAAUAAGUAAGCUACACUACUACUACUACUACUACUACUACUACUACUACUACUACUACUACUACUACUACUACUACCAGGAGGGUGGGUGACUAUCCUAUUAAUGACUGUCUGUGCAAUACUCAGGGAUUUAGCAAGUGUCUGUGUGUGUGUGUGUGUGUUUGUCUGUGUGUGUGUGUGUGUGUGUGUGUGACAAAGACUGGUGUGUGUAUGUGUGUAUACUUCCAAGCCAUGUAUACUCAAUGUACAUAGAUGCAGGAAAUACACACAGGGUAAAGUACAUGCAUGCAUGCAUACAUACAUACAUACAUACAUGUCAGUGCAGGGAGAGGUGCAAUACAUACACAAGAUAGGUACUUUUCUAGCAAUAAUAAGUGCGUACAUACAUAUGUGUGCGUGUAGACAAUACUAGAGCAGUGUAUGUGUGUAUCCCAGCACACACACACACACACACACACACACACACACACACACACACACACACACACACACACACACACACACACAGAGGAGAAUGUAAUGAAAAUAAACAUGAACAUUCUUCUUAAGUGACUCGCUGUAGCAUGUAUGAAAGGUGUGUAUAGUAAUGACAUACGUAUAUACAGUACCUCAUGUUCCUUGUUCUCAUUAAAGGAAGAGAUUUAUGUAUGUAUCUAUUAAUUUGUAUAUUUCUCUGUAUAUUUUUUUUUUCAUUUCAGUUCUUUCAUGGUAAUUCUCUCUCUCUCUCUCUCUCUCUCUCUCUCUCUCUCUCUCUCUCUCUCUCUCUCUCUCUCUCUCUCUCUCUCUCUCUUUUCAUGUGAGUGGAAGAAUGGAAGAAAAAAAAGAAGGAAAGUUUGUUAUUGUAAUUCUUUAAGAUAUAGUGUCAGAAUUGAGCAGCUCUCUAAGUGGAAGGAUGUUAAUGUUCUUGGUUAUUGUAAAGGGAGUCCACUUUCCAAAACUGCCCUAAAAAAAGAGAAAAUAAACCUGUGGAACUUCUCUGUCAAGCUCCACCAUGCUCUAUGAAGGCAGUUCAUCUUUCAUAACACACUUUUAUUUUAUUUUAUUUAUUAAUGUUAUGCAGGAGGGAAGCCAGCCAAGAGCAACAAAAUAUUAAAAAAAAGGCCCACGUGAGUGCUGGUUCCCUUAAAAAGUAGUAAAAAAUUAGCCACAAUCAGUGAACAAAUGUCUUGAGACUCUAAUGUUUGGCCUGAAAAGGGACCACAUCUUUCACUCACACAGUUUUUGAGGAUUUUAUUUCAUUUAUUCAUUUUUUUCUAUAUAUAAGAAGCAACUCUGGCAUAGGUUGUUAUAGAAUAUGUGUUGAAGGUAUUUUAUCUGUUUAUUUACUCAUAUUCAUUCCAUUUACUUUAUGUAUGAGGGAAGACUGGCCCAGCACAAGACUUAAGGUUUGAAUGAAGGUCCCAGUCACCCAACACAGAUUAGUCUCUCUCUCUUGUCCUUGAGAAAUACAAAUGCAAUGUAGGAAGGACUUUGUGUGUGUAUGUGUCUGUGUGUCUGUGUAUUUGAGAGGAAAGGAAGGUCUGUGCCUUUUAAGGGGAUAAUUAUACAAGGAGAGACCUUUCCCUACAGUUCAUUAUAUAUAUAUAUAUAUAUAUAUAUAUAUAUAUAUAUAUAUAUAUAUAUAUAUAUAUAUAUAUAUAUAUAUACACUACCCAUAUAUAUUCUGAGAGGCCUUCUUGUUGGAGUGUUUGGUUAAUUUUAAGGGAUUUGAAAAGCUAACCUAAUGUAAACCACUGUACAUAUGUGUGUAUCCAUUAUUGUCAUUGUUGAUGCUCUCUCUCUCUCUCUCUCUCUCUCUCUCUCUCUCUCUCUCUCUCUCUCUCUGAAACACACAUUUUUGCUCUUCUUAUACUAUUAUUGUUCUCUUUUCUCUCCCUUUUCCCUUUCUCUGAGUAUCUUUGAGCCCUUGUCCAGGGUGUCUUAGGUACUCUUGGAUUAAAAGCACUGCCAGCCAUUCUUUCAGCUGUUUUUCUCUCUUCCUUUCCCAUCUGACACUCAGCCCCCUCACAGUCUCACAGUCUGUCUCAAACACUCAUCAGUCAGUGCACUAUCCACCCAUUCCAUCCAUAAAAUUUACCCAUAAUUUAAUUUUUCUACAUUUUUUGCAAAAUUUUCCUCUUUCAUUUUGAAUUUCUAUUAUGUAAUGUGCUAAUUGACAUUUUUUAGUUUGUUUGAAAUAAUCAAGCUUUGUUUUGGUCUGGUUUUAUUAGUUUUUAUUUUACUUUUUCUUCUUUUUGUCCUUAACAUUCAGCACCUCGUCCAGCAUCUCUCUGAUUCACACACCACCACUCACUCUCUCUUUGUGGCUGCAAUUACACGAUGCAUUUUGUUAAGUAGUCUCUUUUCUGCCUUCCCAAACACUCCACACCACACUCCACACCGCACUCCUGCUUCCCAUCAUGCAUUGCUAUAUUCGUUUCAAUCUUUUUUCAUCAUCUGAUAUGUUCUGUUUUCAUCUCGCCUUUGCCUUCUCACACACCGUGACCUUUGUUUACACCCACAUUCCUGCUUCCCAUGCAGAGCUUAGAGGGAAGUGGCCACAACCUCUUCCAUUAAGCAGGAGUUGGUCAUUCCUGUACCCAAUACCCAAUACAAAUGCCCAGGUGUUGUACUACCUAUGAAAGGCUGAGGCAGGUGUAGUGGCUGUCUCACCAAUGUACACUUGUAAAUAUGUUAACUGUAGAAAUCUUUAGCGGUAGGAAAAUAUUACACACACACACACACACACACACGGUACUAUAGUAGGUAAGAGCAGAUAGCAGGUGACUUGUUGGUCGCUACAAGGGUGCUUGUGAUAAGGUGACUUACAGCCAUGAUACCGUCAGACAAGUGAUACAAUGAAAAAAGAAUAAAGAAAGAGAAGAGUGAGUGAGUGAUUGAGGGCGCCACAACAGCCACGGUCACAUGGCGAAAAACACACACACACACACACACACACUAUGGAAGAAGGCAACUGUGAUAAAACAAUUAAGAUACCGACAAACAGACGAACAAACAAACAGGGAGAAGACAAACAGGAUAAAAAGAAAAGAUUGGAUUGUGUGUGUGUGUGUGUAACUACCAUUUAACUCACCCUCAGGCAGUGCAAAUGAGGCUUCCAUAAUUGGCUUGAACAGUGAGAGCAAGAGAUGUGAAGAAUGUUUCCUUGUGACUACCGGGGCCUUUGUCACGUAAGAGAAGAACUGGCCAAGAGCAGCAAAAUAUAUAUGGAAAAAGGCCCAACAGAGAGAGAGAGAGAGAGAGACAAACAGGAGGUGAAAGGAAGAAGCGGAAAGAGGGAGGAACCGUGACAGGGGAGGGGAGGGAAGAGAAAGAACUAAGUCAGGAGAGAGGCAGGCAGCAGUGCAGCACUCGCCACAACCUCAUCAAAACCACAGUGCAUUUGUACACUAAACUAAGCAGAGUGUAAUGUAGAUAUCGUGUUUUAGGCACAAAAUAGUCAUACUACUUGUGACAAAAAAUAAUAAAAAAAUUACUAUAUUUGCAAUCCUAAGUGUGAUAUUUAUACUUAAAAGAAAUAUAUUCAUGGAUAAAUAUUGUCUAUAUAGUUCUUUUCUAUGUCAAAGUAAUAUUAGUGUAUAUUAGGCUCUUGAUAGUGUGUGUGUGUGUCGCAUUAAUUAACUAUCCAGAUUUCAGAUAUACACAGAUAUAUGUAUUGAUAUGUUUACUGGUAUGAUUUAUACUUUAUUAUUUUAUUUUAUUUUUCUCUUAGUUUGGAUUGGUUCAUGGAGUGAUGUGAGUUGUCUGAAUUAGUUGUAGAAGUGUUAACGUUUCAUUCAUAUCAUACUGCUGUGUAUCAAGUUAUGUAUUCUUUGGUUAUGUAUGUGUAUCUUGUGUCUUUGUCAUCGUGUGUGUGUGUGUGUGUGUGUGUGUGUGUGUGUGCGCGUGCGUGCAAGAUUUUAUUGGAGUGUGAGAACAAAUACAGUAUACCAUUGUCUUA